UCUACCGGGCCUCCUCGGUUACGGGUGCCAAUCCACCCCAAUAGGAUUUGAGGCGUGACACAAUCUCAUUAGUUGAGGCAAAAAGGUGGCAACAACUUUUCACCAACUUUUGUACUAUGUGUCAGCUGGAAAGUUGACUGUGAUAGUGACCAAUGAGCCCAACCUAUUCCCUAAUAAGUAAAAGGACUUUGUCAUCACAACAAGAGCUCCAGGGAACAGGUCCAAACUAUGAAUUUGUCAAUCAUCAAAACCAAGGACUUAACAGUAUAGGCAGGUAUGUUUGGUCUUAUGUGCCAUAAACUGAGAAAUUAUCUUAUUAAAUUUAUGUUUCUAUUAAUUCAAUCUUAAGUUUUUCUUUCUUGUGUUUUUGGAUGUACAACUACUAAUGUUUGAUAAUUGUAGCUUAUCAUUUCUCAAGGGGUAGUGUUGGUGCAACAAGAUCAAUUUAAGGUAAGUAUCAUGAUUGAAACAACUAGGUUCCUUUUUGUUCCUCAUUUUUACUGGGUUUUCACACUGUAAGGGCCAGAUAAUUUAACUAAAUUAGGUGAGAUUGGUUGACAUAUCAGGUGAUUCAAAGUCCUUUGGACUUUUAAGUAGUCAACGGACAAAGGAAGAUGGAGGGGACAAUCUAUAGACACACUAAGAAAAUAUAAUUUCUUUGUGCAAUGAAACCAUUUGCAGAAUAAGUAUAUAUAUUUGAUAAUAAGUAUAUAUAUUUGAUGUUGUAUUAUAAUUUUACAAAUACUAAUGACACAAUUUGUAGUGUUGACUAGUAUCUUGUUUAAUAGGCUAAAAGUUUUGGUGGUUUUCAGGAGCAGUUAGAACCAUAUGUCAACAUUUUCAGUAAAUAUGCACUUUCAUGUAAAGAUUGGCUUGCCACUUACUCAUUUUUUCAGAAGGUUUGCUGAGAUAUCAUUGGUGGAGAUUUGAUGAGGUUGGUUAAGAGUUUGUUUGCAGGAUGCUUGGUGAGUUGAUAAUUAUAAUAUAUGGAUGAUACAAAAGCUUUAAUCAAGUGUAAACAACUCCAAAAGGAUUGGAAUGGAUGGACAAACACAUGGGACAAGAUUUGACCAAAAACGGAUGUUUUGGAGUCAUUGGCGUGCCACGGACCUUAGGCACCACUUUAGGGCCCUGAAACACCCUUGGGGGAAUCCUAAAUGACAAAUUACAGUAUCCAACCACAAUUGGGGCGUUCCAUGGACCCUAGAAACCGCAAUAUGGGCUUGACAUGCUCCUAUGUCAAAAUUAGCAGCUUGUGUCCUCCUAUAAAUAGGACCCUUAAACAUUAUGUUUCAAACCUUGGACGACCUUGGGACUUGAAGGAGGGAUGGAGAACACUUCAAUUAGGGUUUAUAUUCCAUUAAUUUGUUUUUUUUUUUUAUGUAUUUUAACCUGUAUUUAAUCAUCGUGAUUACGGUUACUUCCAUGAGCGGCUAAACACCCUUUUUUGGGGUUAAGGCCAAAAACAUGAGUAUUAUUGUUAUGAAUUGAAUUGAUUUGGUUGUUUAUAAUAUUUGGUUGUUUAUUUAUCCUUUUUAUCACUAUUUUAAGUCUUCAUGACUAUCACGACCCGAAUCGGGGCCUACUCGUGACGGGUAUCUCAAUUCCCACGUAGAUCGGAGAUCACCCCUUGUACCUAAACAAACCAAACACACCACACCAUAUGGUCAGCUGAAUUUAGAACAUAAUAACAAGAUAGCGUUCAAUAGUCUAAGAAAUUUUAAAUGCAUGCCCAUAACCAAACACCAAUGACCGGCCAACCGAUCGAUCGAUGCUGCCCAAUAGUCACAGUAUUCCAAACAAAGACUUCUAAACUAUGAUCCAAAACUGAAUAUCAAUAAAGUGUAGGGACAUGCUCCCAACAAUAGCCAAAAAAAUAAGUCCAAAGGAAUAUUCAAAAUGUAAAGGAAGCCAUAAUAAUGAAAUGGGGUCUUCCAAAGAAUGGAAGCUCACCACUUUAAUCUGACUCGCUAGUUGAUACCGGAUCCAAGUUACUUAGCAGGAGAAGUAGAAGUAUUACCAGUUCUUGCAUCGUGUGGGGAUACAGUGUCCGAAGAUGGUUAACGGGGUUAAUGCUAGCAUAAAACUUGGGUAUAAGGAUAACAUAAUGACAUGAUAAAUAGUUUAAAAAUCAUCUCUAAAAAUCAAUGCACAUAAUCAAAUGCAUAACCAUAUAUAUAUAUAUAUGUGUGUGUGUGUGUGUGUGUGUGUGUGUGUGUGUGUGUGUGUGUGUGUUAAAUGCCGAGAUAGGAAAGAAGUUUUAACAUGCUUUUCAAACCUUAACCUCGAUUGUGUAGCUCAACCAUCAUAUAAUAGUACCCAUGGGAUAUAUGGGUCCCAGCUCUCACCCCCUGAUCGGGCUCCAAUGCGUGUAGCCGCAUGAGCUAGAGAGUAAUAACAUAUAUAUGAACAUGGGGGACUCAAACCCUCCAACAUAUACCAAGGUGACUUACACACCCGAUCAUAUAAUGAUUUACGGGGGAUUCGAACCUCCCUAGUCACUUUGACUGCCGCAUUAGCAAAUAUGAUUUCCAGUAUCGGUCACUUGAACCUCCAAUUUCAUGACUCAGCUACACAAACCUUAUUAUAACAUAAUUAAAACAAGUAUCACACACUCCCAUUCAUUUAGACACAUUCCAUAUUAAGGCAUACAAGGUUGGUAUCAUCAU